CACACACGACCGUACCGCAAACCGACACUGGUGCGCGAGAUGAGUAUUCUAAGGCGCUUGAGAGAACUCAGGAGAAGGAACUCGGCAAAUUGACACCGUAACUUCGGAAGAAGGUGUGCCUUUAGUAGGUGAAGUCCCUCGCGGAUGGAGCCCAAUGAGGUUGCAAAAAAUCGGUGGCUGCGACUGUUUAUUAAAAACACAGCACUCUGCAAACACGAAAGUGGACGUAUAGGGUGUGACGCCUGCCCGGUGCUGGAAGAUUAAAUGAUGGGGUGCAAGCUCUUGAUUGAAGUCCCAGUAAACGGCGGCCGUAACAAUAACGGUCCUAAGGUAGCGAAAUUCCUUGUCGGGUAAGUUCCGACCUGCACGAAUGGCGUAACGAUGGCCACACUGUCUCCUCCUGAGACUCAGCGAAGUUGAAAUGUUUGUGAUGAUGCAAUCUCCCCGCGGAAAGACGGAAAGACCCCAUGAACCUUUACUGUAGCUUUGUAUUGGACUUUGAACAGAUCUGUGUAGGAUAGGUGGGAGGCUUUGAAGCAGGGUCGCUAGAUCUUGUGGAGCCAACGUUGAAAUACCACCCUGGUGUGUUUGAGGUUCUAACCUAGGCCCGUAAUCCGGGUUGGGGACAGUGCAUGGUAGGCAGUUUGACUGGGGCGGUCUCCUCCCAAAGUGUAACGGAGGAGUUCGAAGGUACGCUAGUUACGGUCGGACAUCGUGACGAUAGUGCAAUGGCAUAAGCGUGCUUAACUGCGAGACUGACAAGUCGAGCAGAUGCGAAAGCAGGACAUAGUGAUCCGGUGGUUCUGUAUGGAAGGGCCAUCGCUCAACGGAUAAAAGGUACUCUGGGGAUAACAGGCUGAUACCGCCCAAGAGUUCAUAUCGACGGCGGUGUUUGGCACCUCGAUGUCGGCUCAUCUCAUCCUGGGGCUGUAGCCGGUCCCAAGGGUAUGGCUGUUCGCCAUUUAAAGAGGUACGUGAGCUGGGUUUAAAACGUCGUGAGACAGUUUGGUCCCUAUCUUCCGUGGGCGCUGCAGAUUUGAGGAAGCCUGCUCCUAGUACGAGAGGACCGGAGUGGACGCACCUCUGGUGUAUCGGUUGUCACGCCAGUGGCAUUGCCGAGUAGCUAUGUGCGGAAGAGAUAACCGCUGAAAGCAUCUAAGCGGGAAACUCGUUUCAAGAUGAGAUCUGCCGGGGCCUUGAGCCCCCUGAAGAGUCGUUCAAGACCAGGACGUUGAUAGGUCGGGUGUGGAAGCGCAGUAAUGCGUUAAGCUAACCGAUACUAAUUGCUCGUGCGGCUUGACCCC
rnacentral:rRNA from 1 species